UGGUGGAGUGAUUUGUCUGGUUAAUUCCGAUAACGAGCGAGACCUCAACCUGCUAACUAGCACUGAUUAUGUAUAUAGUCAGGGCUUCUUAGAGGGACUACCCGUUUUAAGCGGGGGGAAGUUUGAGACAAUAACA
rnacentral:rRNA from 1 species